CCUACGGGGGGCAGCAGUGGGGAAUAUUGGACAAUGGGGGGAACCCUGAUCCAGCGACGCCGCGUGAGUGAAGAAGUAUUUCGGUAUGUAAAGCUCUAUCAGCCGGGAAGAAAGAAAUGACGGUACCUGACUAAGAAGCCUCGGCUAACUACGUGCCAGCAGCCGCGGUAAUACGUAGGGGGCAAGCGUUAUCCGGAUUUACUGGGUGUAAAGGGAGCGUAGACGGCGAUGCAAGUCUGAAGUGAAAGGCGGGGGCCCAACCCCCGGACUGCUUUGGAAACUGUAUGGCUGGAGUGCAGGGGAGGUAAGUGGAAUUCCUAGUGUAGCGGUGAAAUGCGUAGAUAUUAGGAGGAACCCCAGUGGCGAAGGCGGCUUACUGGACUGUAACUGACGUUGAGGCACGAAAGCGUGGGGAGCGAACAGGAUUAGAUACCCCUGUAGUC
rnacentral:rRNA from 1 species